UUGAAGCAACGAAACGAGGGGCCAUUGUAGUACUCGUCGCGGCAGUUUCAAAUAUAGCCAUAGGUCUUCCGCAUACUGCUAAAAUGAGCUAUGACGACGAAAAAACCAUACCACGGAUACCUUUGGCAUCAAUAAGUGUCGAUAGCGCUCAAAUGUUAGGCCGAAUGCAGCGAAGAGGGAACCGCAUCGUAUUAAGGCUCAGCAUGGACGAUGUGCUUCCCGGAAAUAUCACGUCCAGAAAUAUAUUCGGCCAAUUGCCUGGAUUCGUCUAUCCCGACGAAAAAGUUAUUGU